GAACUUUGAUUUCUGCACAAAAAUAACACCAAGGCAAUUCUGCUGAAAACAGCGUCAGUCUAGGUUAGUUCCAUUCAAAUCAUGCAAAUUAGAGUCCAAAACAAGGGCAAAAGAGUUUGGAAAAGUAGAUACGAUGGAGACGUAUCAACUCCCCAAGCUUAAAACCUUGCUUGUCCUCAAGCAACUCAGUUGACAAAAUGAGAGAGAAACAAAAACUUUGACAAACUCUGUUUGAUCUUGUUGUUGCAACUAUGUCUAACUCAUAACCAGAAUUUCAGCAAGAUCACAAGUUAACCACAUAAGCAAGUGACACAAAGUUAUCACGGUAAACUAAUAUCAAUGGCAUAAUCAGCUAACGAGAAAAUAAUAAUGAGUUUGAAAUACCAACACUUCAAUCGAAACAAGCAUGAAGCAAUAUGAAUAGGUGGUAUCUCGCUAGCUCUUUC
rnacentral:lncRNA from 1 species